GACACGACUUAUUCCGCCGUCACGCUUCCUGGAUCUGGUAAUUGAUUAUUCAUGAUAUUCAAAUAUAAUGUUAGUCUUUACCGAUUGUUACAUAGUCAACACUGUUAGGUAGGAUUCUGUUUCCUGUGCGGAUAUUACAAUUAAGCGUGCAAACUCAUUGACUGUUCUGCGUGAUUUACGUUAUAAAAAGAAACGAGAAUUCUUUUGUGGUCGCUCACUUGUCAAGUAGGCCUAGCCUAAGAAUAUUUUCACCGUUUUACUGUAGUUUGUUAUGGUCAUCUACUAAGCUUAUUGUAGUGUAUUAUAUUGCAGUGAACAUCACGUGUGUGUACAUUCAAGAAUGGCAACUACUUUUUAAACUUGCUUCCUGUUUGAAAUUGCGUAGCGAAGACCGGGAAAUUAUCCAGAAGCUCUUCCAGAUGCGAGAGUUUAAAAUUCCUUCGCAGGCAUAAUACUACAAUGCUGAACUCACAGUAAUUUACUGCAUUUUACUUUAUCAAUCAUUGAUACCGUAUCAAUGAUAUCUGCAGUAUUUUUAUGACCACACCCUAUUAAUUGUUUUCAUAUUGGAAAUUAUUAAUAUGAUUGGAAUUAGAAUGAACGAGGUAUUAUUUUUGACUGGAUUGUUACUAUCAAGUACUCCGAUGGGAAAGCUCUACUGGCAAGAUUUGUAUUUAUAAUAGAUGUAAAUACAGGCGUAAUUUACCAGUUUUCAUUUUUGAUGAACCAUGCGUUUGCUGAAUCAAGAGAACACGACUUAUUGCUGCUGCUAGGCUGUGCCUCCACAAGAUUGGUUUUCUUAUCUACUCGGGUUCUUGCCUUCUUCCUCUCCUGCAUUUUCAAUUUAUUUUAAAUCAAUUGUAAUAUAUUUGUCUGAUUCAAAAAGGAAGUAAAUAAAUGUUGAAUUGAAUUGAAUUGAAAAUAGUGGGUGACAUCAGAAUAGCAAAUUUAACACUGGUUUGGAAGCACUGCUUCCAAGAGUAUUGUGUACAUGUUCCUCUCCUCACUGCUACGGGGCAUGCACUGCCGAAUGAGUUAUUUGUAUUUUCCGACAUUCUAAAACUUCAAUGACUAAAGUUAAACGAAUCUACAUGCAGACAACCGCGGGUAGAGAAAAAAAAAACAUGUAUAAAUUUACUUGAGACUAAUUGUUAAACAUAGGUCUACUGAAUUAAAUAAUCAGUUGAGAAGAACCUACAACCAUGCAGAUAUAAAAGAUACAUACUGUACUGUAUUUAUUCGAAUGAACGCCCCAUAAAGAUUAUUGUUGAAAAGGGGUUUUGUUGGGCGUUUAUUCGAUGGAGGCUUUUAUUCUAUGUAAGCGUUUAUCAUUUUUUUUGUGUAAAAGGGAAUACUCAA